CAGUGGACCUAAUCCUGCGCUGGGCUGCAUACGAGGAAACUCGUGUGCGAUCACCUGUCAAAUUCGGGGAAGCCGUUGGCGGGGUAACCCCGAGCCAAGCCCCGAGGGCGUGAUCGCCCGAAGGGAAGGUGUAGAGACUUAACGGCAGGCACCCUAACGCCGGACAGCCGGGCCGAGGGUGAAGAGAAAGUCCAGACCACGAACUGGCUUCAUCCAG
rfam:Nitrospirae bacterium 13_2_20CM_2_62_8 13_2_20cm_2_scaffold_61, whole genome shotgun sequence.